AACCAGCACCUCAAGUGGUCAGGAGGAUUAUUGGGCCUAAAGCAUCCGUAGCCGGCUCUGUAAGUUUUCGGUUAAAUCCAUGUGCUCAACGCAUGGGCUGCCGAAAAUACUGCACAGCUAGGGAGUGGGAGAGGUAGACGGUACUCGAUAGGAAGGGGUAAAAUCCUUUGAUCUAUUGAUGACCACCUGUGGCGAAGGCGGUCUACCAGAACACGUUCGACGGUGAGGGAUGAAAGCUGGGGGAGCAAACCGG
rnacentral:rRNA from 1 species